AGAGUUUGAUCCUGGCUCAGGACGAACGCUGGCGGCGUGCUUAACACAUGCAAGUCGAACGGUAAGGCCCUUCGGGGUACACGAGUGGCGAACGGGUGAGUAACACGUGAGUAACCUGCCCCUGACUCUGGAAUAAGCAUUCGAAAGGAUGUCUAAUACCGGAUAUUCUCCUUCACUGGCAUCGGUGGGGGUGGAAAGUUUUUCGGUUGGGGAUGGGCUCGCGGUCUAUCAGCUUGUUGGUGGGGUAAUGGCUCACCAAGGCUUCGACGGGUAGCCGGCCUGAGAGGGCGACCGGCCACACUGGGACUGAGAUACGGCCCAGACUCCUACGGGAGGCAGCAGUGGGGAAUAUUGCACAAUGGGCGGAAGCCUGAUGCAGCAACGCCGCGUGCGGGAUGACGGCCUUCGGGUUGUAAACCGCUUUCGGCAGGGAAGAAGCGAAAGUGACGGUACCUGCAGAAGAAGUACCGGCUAACUACGUGCCAGCCGCCGCGGUAAUAC
rnacentral:rRNA from 1 species